rnacentral:tRNA from 1 species
CUAUUUUGGCAGAAAAGUGCCAUGGAUUUAGGAUCCAUUCAUGUAAGUAAUCUUACAGAUAGUACU